AUAUUUACCUGUCAGGGGGGAUACCAUGAUCACAAAGAUGGUUCUCCUAGGGUGAGGCUCAUCCAUUACACUUUGGCUCACCUGACCCCUGUGAUUUCCCCAAAUGUGUGUAACUCAACUUCAUAAUUUGUGGUAGUGGGGGACUGUUUUCAUGCUUUCCCUUG